CAAGAAGUUCUUAGAGCAGGAGUGAGGUUCAUCACCCGGAAAAUGGUUGACUUUAGGUCUCAAACCAAAAACAAGAUGCUAUCAAGAAAUGAAUCAGCAGACUUAGGCUGUAAAAGUCUGAAGGACUUGGGAAAAGCUCUCUUUUCCAGGUUUCAAUGCCAAGAUGAAGAAGCUGUUGAGAAUAUGACAGUUGCUUUAAGAGCAUUCAGCUAUGAAAAAAACAACUUAAAAAGCAGUCUGGGGAGCCCUUGAAGGAUUUCUGGACAGCCUUCAAGGGUUUCCUGAGCGUUAUCCUAGACAAUCAGGACAAGGACAAAUGGGCCCAGUUGAAA